rnacentral:rRNA from 1 species
UCCUACGGGAGGCAGCAGUGGGGAAUAUUGCACAAUGGGGGGAACCCUGAUGCAGCCAUGCCGCGUGUGUGAAGAAGGCCUUCGGGUUGUAAAGCACUUUCAGUUGUGAGGAAAAGUUAGUAGUUAAUACCUGCUAGCCGUGACGUUAACAACAGAAGAAGCACCGGCUAACUCCGUGCCAGCAGCCGCGGUAAUACGGAGGGUGCGAGCGUUAAUCGGAGUUACUGGGCGUAAAGCGCACGCAGGCGGUUUGUUAAGCUAGAUGUGAAAGCCCCGGGCUCAACCUGGGAUGGUCAUUUAGAACUGGCAGACUGGAGUCUUGGAGAGGGGAGUGGAAUUCCAGGUGUAGCGGUGAAAUGCGUAGAUAUCUGGAGGUACAUCAGUGGCGAAGGCGACUCCCUGGCCAAAGACUGACGCUCAUGUGCGAAAGUGUGGGUAGCGAACAGGAUUAGAUACCCUGGUAGUCCACACCGUAAACGCUGUCUACUAGCUGUGUGUGUCUUUAAGACGUGCGUAGCGAAGCUAACGCGCUAAGUAGACCGCCUGGGGAGUACGGCCGCAAGGUUAAAACUCAAAUGAAUUGACGGGGACCCGCACAAGCGGUGGAGCAUGUGGUUUAAUUCGAUGCAACGCGAAGAACCUUACCAGGGUUUGACAUUAUGUAAAUCUACUUGACAGAGAAGAGUGCCUCCAGGAUACAUAAACAGUGGUGCAUG